rnacentral:rRNA from 1 species
AAAUUGAAGAGUUUGAUCAUGGCUCAGAUUGAACGCUGGCGGCAGGCCUAACACAUGCAAGUCGAGCGGAAACGAGUUAUCAGAACCUUCGGGGGACGAUAACGGCGUCGAGCGGCGGACGGGUGAGUAAUGCCUAGGAAAUUGCCCUGAUGUGGGGGAUAACCAUUGGAAACGAUGGCUAAUACCGCAUGAUGCCUACGGGCCAAAGAGGGGGACCUUCGGGCCUCUCGCGUCAGGAUAUGCCUAGGUGGGAUUAGCUAGUUGGUGAGGUAAGGGCUCACCAAGGCGACGAUCCCUAGCUGGUCUGAGAGGAUGAUCAGCCACACUGGAACUGAGACACGGUCCAGACUCCUACGGGAGGCAGCAGUGGGGAAUAUUGCACAAUGGGCGCAAGCCUGAUGCAGCCAUGCCGCGUGUGUGAAGAAGGCCUUCGGGUUGUAAAGCACUUUCAGUCGUGAGGAAGGUAGUGUGUUUAAUAGA